UACGUAGGGCGCAAGCGUUGUCCGGAAUUAUUGGGCGUAAAGGGCUCGUAGGCGGCCAACUAAGUCAUACGUGAAAUCCCUCAGCUUAACUGGGGAACUGCGUGUGAUACUGGAUGGCUUGGAUUUGGGAGAGGGAUGCGGAAUUCCAGGUGUAGCGGUGAAAUGCGUAGAUAUCUGGAGGAACACCGGUGGCGAAGGCGGCAUCCUGGACCAAUAUUGACGCUGAGGAGCGAAAGCCAGGGGAGCAAACGGG
rnacentral:rRNA from 1 species